rnacentral:RNase_P_RNA from 1 species
GAGGAAAGUCCGGGCUCCACAGGAUGCCGUGGUGGAUAACGUCCACCGACCGCAAGGUUCGGGAAAGUGCAACAGAGAACAGACCGCCGAUCGCUGCGGGGCAACUCGCGGCGAGGUAAGGGUGAAACGGUGAGGUAAGAGCUCACCAGCGGGUCGGGCGACCGACUCGGCUCGGCAAACCCCACGGGGAGCAAGGCCAAGCAGAGAGGAGACUUCGGGCGGCUUCGGUCACUCGGCGUCGCGGGGCGAUUCGUUCCGUUAUCACUCUCGGGUAGGCUGCCAGAGGCGGCGGGCAACCGUCGUCCUAGAGAAAUGAUCGUCGCGACGGCGCAGGCCGUCGGACAGAACCCGGCUUACGAAUUCCGACAGAACCCGGCUUA